AGAGUUUGAUCAUGGCUCAGAUUGAACGCUGGCGGCAUGCCUUACACAUGCAAGUCGAACGGCAGCACGGGAGCAAUCCUGGUGGCGAGUGGCGAACGGGUGAGUAAUAUAUCGGAACGUGCCCAGUCGUGGGGGAUAACGCAGCGAAAGCUGUGCUAAUACCGCAUACGAUCUACGGAUGAAAGCGGGGGAUCGCAAGACCUCGCGCGAUUGGAGCGGCCGAUAUCAGAUUAGGUUGUUGGUGGGGUAAAAGCCCACCAAGCCGGCGAUCUGUAGCUGGUCUGAGAGGACGACCAGCCACACUGGAACUGAGACACGGUCCAGACUCCUACGGGAGGCAGCAGUGGGGAAUUUUGGACAAUGGGCGCAAGCCUGAUCCAGCAAUGCCGCGUGCAGGAUGAAGGCCUUCGGGUUGUAAACUGCUUUUGUACGGAACGAAACGGUCUGCUCUAAUACAGCGGGCUAAUGACGGUACCGUAAGAAUAAGCACCGGCUAACUACGUGCCAGCAGCCGCGGUAAUACGUAGGGUGCGAGCGUUAAUCGGAAUUACUGGGCGUAAAGCGUGCGCAGGCGGUUAUAUAAGACAGAUGUGAAAUCCCCGGGCUCAACCUGGGACCUGCAUUUGUGACUGUAUAGCUAGAGUGCGGCAGAGGGGGAUGGAAUUCCGCGUGUAGCAGUGAAAUGCGUAGAUAUGCGGAGGAACACCGAUGGCGAAAGCAAUCCCCUGGGCCUGCACUGACGCUCAUGCACGAAA
rnacentral:rRNA from 1 species